ensembl:lncRNA
GGCAAUGAAUCUUUGUACACGUUUUUUCCUUGCAGUAUGGUCAGUGUGAGCUGGUAACGUCAUGGAAUUGCCUUCAGUGAGCCUCACUUGUUCUUACCAACUUUGCAGUACAGUUUCCUUACUCGUUUGUGCUGACAAAUCACUGGCUUUAUGAAAGCAAAAAAAGAAAAAAUUGCAGACGUGGAUCUUCUUUGCUCUACUUAUUGCAGAAUUUGGGCCAGAGAGAAGCUGCCCCUUGUUACCAGAUCAGAUAGAUUCAACGACCAGAAAGCUCCAUUUUAGCCCUUAGCCUUUCUGAUCUUUUCUUUGUUUUGCUCAAAGAAGAUUAUGGUCCCUUGCACUAUGUUGCCAAUGCAAGCUGUUCCUUCUUGCUCUUUCUUUUGCACAGUUUAUGCCUUCAUUAGUUUAAAAGUAACUAUGUUGCUUUAAACCAGUGGCUAUACUGUUUUUAAUGCGCUUUUGUGAUACUCAAGCUGUAAUUGCUGUGCUGUGGCAACUUUAGUAGCCACACACAAAUGGUUCAGGCUAUUUGUAAAGUCUGUAGUUUGACAUCUGCUCAAUGUUUUCAGUGCUUGGUUCCUAAUCUCCUUUUACUUUUCUGUAAGGGCUUCUGUUUGUGAGCAGUAGGACUAUUUUUCCACGCUUUUCAGGAUAAGUCAGCAGUAAGGUUUUUGACAAAUUCAAUCCAAAAAGCAGACUUGUGCUUCUGAUCUUAGACUAUUUCUUGAGCUGCUACACAAAGGUGUUAGAUGCUGACGCUGAUAUAUUUGUUUCCUGCUGAAAUGAAGUCUCCCAUUAAAAUAAAGGUAUAGUACAAAAGGACUAAAUGCUGCUCCAGCUGCAAGACUGAGGCAUAAUGGCUGAACAAAAACCCAAUGCAGUUCCAACUUGCUUUCAAAGGAUUCAGUAAUCAAUAAUUGCUUUUUGUCUCUAUUGAGGAAAAUUCUGCUUGUAAUUGUAGCACACCCAUUGCAUCAAGGCACGCCUUUGUCUUUAUUCAAGUUGUCUUCCAUGUUUCCCUUCCAAAAUAUCCUUGCAAAUGUUAUAAUUAUUCUAAGUUAAUAUAGCUGCUAUUUCUGUCUCAGAAGAAAGGUCUUUCUGAUAUGUCAUAUUUCAAGUUGUGUUCAUGGCUUAACUAGCUGUCUUCUACAGUGCAGUGAUUAGAAAAGAUAUAUGCUUUUUAUUUGUAAUAUGGGGAUAUUUCAGUGUUCCUCUUUGUUUGAUUUAUCCUGUAUUUUUAAAAUAGACUCUAUAAUGUGAGAUUGCCCAACAAUUCUGGUGUCUGGACUGCUAAUUUUAGUCCUUGCUUAAGACAAAACUUGGUUUUGUUGAGGUGAUUUUUCCAUUUAAACACCAGUUGCUUUGCUGCCUGCUUCAGGGAAAUGCAUGCUUUUUCUUACCAUGGAAUGUUAUGUUUGUAUAUCAAUUCUCCAAUAUGCUAUUUGUAAUUUCUUUUCAUCACAAAGGCCCAGCUUUUUUUUUUUUUUUUGUCAAUGAGAGCCUGGACUAUCUCUUAAAAGAAUAGAGUGCUUCUCUGCAGUCACUUUAUAUAUUAUGACACUCAUUCCUACAAAUGGAAGUUAGUUGCCCAUUUAUUAAUUCAUAAUAUUAAACGAAGUGCACACUGUGGCAUUUAGGCAUGAGAUUCUGUGCAUUCAGAUGGACCUCUGAGCUCUUUGGGAGUGUGGUCCUUCAUGCCUGUGGGAACCGAUUUUCAUGUACUGAGAUUCUGCUUUUGGGUAGUGUCAUUGAUCAGCUGGUAAGGAUUCCUUUACUACCAUAGAGAGAUCAUCCUAUGUGGAAAUGCUGAAGGAAACUUCAAUUUCUAGAUUAUGGAAAUAAUAUUUUAUAGAGCGAUUUAUUCUCCAUAUUGGGGGAAGAAGCACAGCAUGAAUUUACACUACAGUAACUGAUACUAGGUGUAGCUGUUGUUCCAAAACAGGAAACUGAUUGUAUAAGAAGACUGUCAAUACACUAAGCAUCAUUUUGUGCCUAGAAAACUGGACACUGAAAAGGUUUUUUGUUAGAGUAGUUACUUACUCUUGCUUUGCUGUCUUACCUCUUUGUUUAAAAAUUUGGAGUAAAACUCUGUUGUAAUUACUUCAGUAUGUUUUGAUACAUGAAAUCUGUCACAGAAUGGCAGAAAUAAAGAUAUUUCUUCUUAAUAAACACUUAUUUGAUUUUGAAGCCAGGGAAUAUAUACUGGAAAAACUAUCUGAAGAUUUAGGCAGAAGUGAAGUAAUCAAUUUUUUAGCUUUUAAAGUAAAAUGCAGUGCUUUUGAAUAUGGAAUAGUGACUGUGCUAAAGGAACAAUCUUUGUCAAGGCUGAUGAGUAGUUUGUACCAAACUCAGGAAUCAGUCAAUUUUCAUGGAGAAGCAAGACUGUAUGUACUUGUAUUUAUAUGUAUUAUAGAUGUAUUAUUGGACUUACAAUGUUGGUGGGACUGAGCAAGUGACGGACUAAGAGCUCGUGAUUCUAGAUUUGAAUUUGACUAGCUAUGGAACAGUGUCUAAUUAUAUUGGAUAAGGAUUUAGUUCCCAGCUGGGAUUAGAAGAAGUCUGAACUUGAAACUUCUUUCAGGCACACAGCAGUUUUGCAAGAAGCUUGUUACAAUCACUAUGUAGUUGAUUUGUUUAUACCCAACCCCUUCAGUUACUGCCCAUUAACAACUUCAUUAACGGGGUCUGGGAUACACUCCCACAUUUACCUGAAUUUGUAGUGAAUGCUGCGUGAAUUUCUAAUAAAGAUUUUGAUUGCUUUAAUUAUCAGGUUGUAGAGAUUAGAUCUGGUGAGGUAAGAGCCAAUAGCUAAAGAAACUGCUGGAAAGCAAAAGUACAGUUUUGCCUAAUCCUUUGUCUCAGGGGAUCUAAGAUCAAGCAAGGCAGGUGACAGAGAGAGUGAAAAUGGAGCUGGAGUAGCAGGGAGCUUUCAUACUCAUCCAGUCAGAUGACAGUGGAGUAAGGGAGUAAGACCGAUUGUACAGUGGAAACCAUUGGGAGUUAGAGAGAGAAGAGGGGGAAUAGUGUCACAGAUGACUGUUCUUUCUUGUUACAUAUGUAGAAAUGAAAGGAGGAAAAAAGAUGCUGGUGAUAAGGAGCUUGUCUCCCUUUGCUUAAGUGUUUGCAUCUCCCACCUAUCACUGGUGAAAAUGCACCUGAGAUUUUUUUGGAGGUUCUAUCCUGUUGUUGUUUUGUUCAUGUAGCUGGAGAGAAGUGUUUUUAUGCAAGGAGAUGAGAUGAAUAAGGGGAACAGCUCUGUUCACAUAUAAAAGAUCUGCUUCUGUCUACAUUUCAUCUCAUCACUUUCACCUAGCCUUUCCACAGUUCAGCUUCUUUGAUCAAAACAUAGCAGUUCAAUGUUUAUAGUCUCUGUUGCCUUGUAAAAUUAAUUGAUAUUAGGAAGCUGAGUAACCAAGGAUAAUUAGUUACCUGUGUCAAUGAAUACUUCUACAAAUGUAUUGUCAGAGGUGUGUUACUCUAUUUAUGUAAAACCUCUAGUUGCUGCCAGGUUUAAUACUUAAGUCUAGGGCAGGUAACUUGUGAAAUGAUAGGAGUUCUGUCUCAAGAUGAAUGAAGGUGUAGUACAGCUUUCAACUCCAUGAAAAUUCAGAGUUGUCAUUAUCACACACCUGAGCCUUUGUGGCAUAUAUAAUACAGGACAGACGUAUCUUUGUAAGUAUUAAUACCAAAUGUGUUACAUUAUAGGUCUGUCCACUGGAUGUCACUCUUAGCCUGGAUCUGUGCUGGUUUAAUGCUAAUGCAUUGUCUGUCUAAGUGGUUUAUUCAACCUCGUAGCUUUAAGAAUUAUGGCUAUUAUUUUUAAGAAAAGAUAGUGUUGCAAAUGUUAAUGAUCUGUGGAAUUAGUUUUGUGCAAUUCCAAUGUAUUUCUGAUAAGGGGAUGAAUUUGUUAAAUGAAACAUAAUAGCGUAGGGAAUUGAUUGGAUAAGAUCCUUUGGUAUUAAGAAAAUGUAUUAAUAUGAAUAUGUUGUCAACAAUUCCCCUGUGCAUGGUAGACCCGACACUCUGCAAUGUUCUCGUAUACCUAACCUUUUCUUCUUUAGUAUUUGCUUGAAAUUGUAUUGUCUGAAUCUUUACUACUCACUAGUUCAACUGAAAAGUCUGCUAAAACAUUAUUGUUUAGAUGUACGGUUGUGCAUACUGAUGAAAAACAGUUUUGUUGUAAAGCUUUAAAAACUCCACUUUUCUUCUCAAAUUCUGUUCUUUUAUCCACAAAAGAUAGACUAUAUUCUGUAUUCGUUAACAUUUAUUCACAUUAAAUAUUACUUUAUUCACUA